rnacentral:rRNA from 1 species
AUUGAACGCUGGCGGCAGGCCUAACACAUGCAAGUCGAACGAGUGGCGGACGGGUGAGUAAUGUCUGGGAAACUGCCCGCUGGAGGGGGAUAACUACUGGAAACGGUAGCUAAUACCGCAUACCAUCGGAUGUGCCCAGCUGGGAUUAGCUCGUAGGUGGGGUAAUGGCUCACCUAGGCGACGAUCCCUAGCUGGUCUGAGAGGAUGACCAGCCACACUGUAACUGAGACACGGUCCAGACUCCUACGGGAGGCAACAGUGGGGAAUAUUGCACAAUGGGCGCAAGCCUGAUGCAGCCAUGCCGCGUGUAUGAAGAAGGCCUUCGGGUUGUAAAGUACUUUCAGCGAGGAGGCGUUACGCGCAGAAGAAGCACCGGCUAACUCCGUGCCAGCAGCCGCGGUAAUUC